GAUGAAGAACGCAGCGAAAUGCGAUAAGUAAUGUGAAAUGCAGAAUUCAGUGAAUCAUCGAAUCUUUGAACGCACAUUGCGCCCCUUGGUAUUCCGAGGGGCAUGCCUGUUCGAGCGUCAUUAUAACCCCUCAAGCUCAGCUUGGUGUUGGGGCCUGCUGCACUGGCAGCCCUUAAAAUCAGUGGCGGCGCCAUCUGGCUCUAAGCGUAGUAAUUCUUCUCGCUAUGGAGUCCUGGUGGAUGCUUGCCAUCAACCCCCAAUUUUUCUAUGGUUGACCUCGGAUCAGGUAGGGAUACCCGCUGAACUUAAGCAUAUCAAUAAGCGGAGGA
rnacentral:misc_RNA from 1 species